rnacentral:rRNA from 1 species
UCGCUGACGAGUGGCGGACGGGUGAGUAAUGCUUGGGAACUUGCCUUUGCGAGGGGGAUAACAGUUGGAAACGACUGCUAAUACCGCAUAAUGUCUACGGACCAAACGGGGCUUAGGCUCCGGCGCAAAGAGAGGCCCAAGUGAGAUUAGCUAGAUGGUGAGGUAAAGGCUCACCAUGGCAACGAUCUCUAGCUGUUCUGAGAGGAAGAUCAGCCACACUGGGACUGAGACACGGCCCAGACUCCUACGGGAGGCAGCAGUGGGGAAUAUUGCACAAUGGGGGAAACCCUGAUGCAGCCAUGCCGCGUGUGUGAAGAAGGCCUUCGGGUUGUAAAGCACUUUCAGUUGUGAGGAAAGGGUGUUGGUUAAUACCCAAUAUCUGUGACGUUAACAACAGAAGAAGCACCGGCUAACUCCGUGCCAGCAGCCGCGGUAAUACGGAGGGUGCGAGCGUUAAUCGGAAUUACUGGGCGUAAAGCGCACGCAGGCGGUUUGUUAAGCUAGAUGUGAAAGCCCCGGGCUCAACCUGGGACGGUCAUUUAGAACUGGCAGACUAGAGUCUUGGAGAGGGGAGUGGAAUUCCAGGUGUAGCGGUGAAAUGCGUAGAUAUCUGGAGGAACAUCAGUGGCGAAGGCGACUCCCUGGCCAAAGACUGACGCUCAUGUGCGAAAGUGUGGGUAGCGAACAGGAUUAGAUACCCUGGUAGUCCACACCGUAAACGCUGUCUACUAGCUGUGUGUGAAUUUAAUUCGUGCGUAGCGAAGCUAACGCGCUAAGUAGACCGCCUGGGGAGUACGGCCGCAAGGUUAAAACUCAAAUGAAUUGACGGGGGCCCGCACAAGC